rnacentral:rRNA from 1 species
CCUACGGGUGGCUGCAGUGGGGAAUAUUGGACAAUGGGCGAAAGCCUGAUCCAGCCAUGCCGCGUGUGUGAAGAAGGCCUUCGGGUUGUAAAGCACUUUCAGUGGGGAAGAAAGCCUUGGGGCUAAUACCCUCGAGGAAGGACAUCACCCACAGAAGAAGCACCGGCUAACUCCGUGCCAGCAGCCGCGGUAAUACGGAGGGUGCGAGCGUGAAUCGGAAUUACUGGGCGUAAAGCGCGCGUAGGCGGUCUGAUAAGCCGGUUGUGAAAGCCCCGGGCUCAACCUGGGAACGGCAUCCGGAACUGUCAGGCUAGAGUGCAGGAGAGGAAGGUAGAAUUCCCGGUGUAGCGGUGAAAUGCGUAGAGAUCGGGAGGAAUACCAGUGGCGAAGGCGGCCUUCUGGACUGACACUGACGCUGAGGUGCGAAAGCGUGGGUAGCAAACAGGAUUAGAUACCCCAGUAGUC